rnacentral:rRNA from 1 species
UACGAAGGGGGCUAGCGUUGUUCGGAAUUACUGGGCGUAAAGCGCACGUAGGCGGUAUUGAAAGUUGGAUGUGAAAUCCCUCGGCUUAACCAAGGAAGUGCAUCCAAAACUCCAGUACUUGAGUACUUAAGAGGAUCGCGGAAUUCCCGGUGUAGAGGUGAAAUUCGUAGAUAUCGGGAGGAACACCAGUGGCGAAGGCGGCGAUCUGGGAAGAUACUGACGCUGAGGUGCGAAAGCGUGGGGAGCAAACAGG